CAGUGCUAUCAUCAUCGUCGUUGAUGAAGUUAUCAUCCACAUGUGAUUGUAAUAUCAAAUUAUUGUUGGAUCGUGCCCAUACCAAUGCUCGUACCGACAUUCCAACGAUAGGAACAUCCUCAGGUUCACAGUCGUCUCGUUGUAUUUGCCAUAUGUUGACCAUAUCAUCGGGCACUAAUAUGUUAUCUGGUGCUUGCAUUUGAUAUGCUUCAUUUUCAAUAGUUGCACGGACUUCAUUCUCUAGACCUUCAUCAUUCGAGCAUGUGAAAAGUGUGGGAUCGAACAAAUAUCUAUGUUGAGCCCUUAUUGCAACUCACUAGAGCUCUUUCAUUUUGGUAUUCUCAACAUACCAUACUAGUCUCGCUUGCUUUGCAAAAAUAUAAGGAUCACUUUCAUACCAC
rnacentral:lncRNA from 1 species